CGCGUAGGUGGUUUGAUAAGGCUGUGGUGAAAGCCCGGGGCUCAACCCCGGGUCUGCCGUGGCGACUGUCAGACUGGAGGGCUCGAGAGGCAGACGGAAUUCCGGGUGUAGCGGUGGAAUGCGUAGAGAUCCGGAAGAAGACCGGUGGCGAAGGCGGUCUGCUGGCGAGUACCUGACACUGAGGCGCGACAGCGUGGGGAGCAAACAGGAUUAGAUACCCUGGUAGUCCACGCCGUAAACGAUGGGCACUAGGCGCUUGGGGGAGCGACCCUCUGAGGGCCGGCGCUAACGCAUGAAGUGCCCCGCCUGGGGAGUACGGCCGCAAGGCUGAA
rnacentral:rRNA from 1 species